rnacentral:tRNA from 2 species
GGGGGAAUAGCUCAGUGGUAGAGCGCUGAAUUCCAGUCCCAGCGGUCGGGGGUUCGAUCCCCUCUUCCCUCA